rnacentral:rRNA from 1 species
UACGAAGGGGGCUAGCGUUGCUCGGAAUUACUGGGCGUAAAGCGCACGUAGGCGGCUUUGCAAGUCGGAUGUGAAAUCCCUCGGCUUAACCAAGGAAGUGCAUCCGAAACUGCAGAGCUUGAGUACUUAAGAGGAUCGCGGAAUUCCCGGUGUAGAGGUGAAAUUCGUAGAUAUCGGGAGGAACACCAGUGGCGAAGGCGGCGAUCUGGGAAGAUACUGACGCUGAGGUGCGAAAGCGUGGGGGAGCAAACAGG